rnacentral:misc_RNA from 1 species
GAUGAAGAACGUAGCGAAAUGCGAUACGUAAUGUGAAUUGCAGAAUUCCGUGAAUCAUCGAAUCUUUGAACGCAAAUUGCGCUCCCUGGCAUCCCGGGGAGUAUGCCUGUUUGAGGGUCAGUGUUAAUAAAAAUCGGUUCGUUGCGAAUUUUUUGUGACGUUCCGGAGUUUGGGUUAUCUUAACUUUUUUGGUUAAGAGGCUUAAAAUUGACCUUUUUUUGUGCAUUUUAGACGUACAUAAAUUUUCUUUUAUUCGUCCAUUAAUGCCAAAAUAUAUUAGAUGCGACCAUAUCGUGUGGUUUCGUGUCUAUAAAAUUUUCAUGAUUUGACCUCAAAUCAGGUAGGAGUACCCGCUGAACUUAAGCAUAUCAAUAAGCGGAGGA